rnacentral:rRNA from 1 species
GACGAACGCUGGCGGCGUGCUUAACACAUGCAAGUCGAACGGUGAAGGGACCGGUUUUUGCUGGUUCUGGAUGAGUGGCGAACGGGUGAGUAACACGUGAGUAACCUGCCCCCUUCUUCUGGAUAACCGCAUGAAAGUGUGGCUAAUACGGGAUAUUCUGCGCCUGCUGCAUGGUGGGUGUGGGAAAGAUAUUGUUUCGGUGGGGGAUGGGCUCGCGGCCUAUCAGCUUGUUGGUGGGGUGAUGGCCUACCAAGGCGGUGACGGGUAGCCGGCCUGAGAGGGUGGACGGUCACACUGGGACUGAGACACGGCCCAGACUCCUACGGGAGGCAGCAGUGGGGAAUAUUGAACAAUGGGCGAAAGCCUGAUGCAGCGACGCCGCGUGAGGGAUGGAGGCCUUCGGGUUGUAAACCUCUUUCGCCAGUGAAGCAGGCCUGUCCCUUUUGUGGGUGGGUUGACGGUAGCUGGAUAAGAAGCGCCGGCUAACUACGUG